CCUACGGGUGGCAGCAGUAGGGAAUAUUGCGCAAUGGACGAAAGUCUGACGCAGCCACGCCGCGUGAGUGAGGAAGGCCUUCGGGUUGUAAAGCUCUGUCAUCCGGGAAAAACGGCUAUCUGGGGAAAGUUCAGGUAGCGUGAUGGUACCGGAGGAGGAAGCACCGGCAAACUCUGUGCCAGCAGCCGCGGUAAUACAGAGGGUGCAAGCGUUGUUCGGAAUUACUGGGCGUAAAGCGUGCGUAGUCGGUAUUGAGAGUCACGGGUGAAAUCCCAGGGCUUAACCCUGGAACUGCCUGUGAGACCUCAGUACUAGAGUGUGAGAGGGGAUAGUGGAAUACCCAGUGUAGCGGUGAAAUGCGUAGAGAUUGGGUGGAACACCGGUGGCGAAGGCGGCUAUCUGGC
rnacentral:rRNA from 1 species